UAGCUGCAGCCGGGGUAGCUAACUAGCUGCAGCGGUGACCACCCGUGAGUGAUGGCAGCUGAACUGAAACCAGUAACUUCAAAUCAGACCUCCUCACUCCUAAAAUCCCUGGAUGGUGAUGACCCUGACCUGAGCCACCCACGGCCCCUGCUGUGUCUUGAACUCUCCCUGACCUCAGCACCAUAUCAAAGGGUCAGACAGAGGCAGGACCCACCACGAUGUCCACUAAAGGCUGCCCUGACAGACAACAGGCAGACAGCGAGGCAUCCAGGGUGUGUGCAUGUGUGUCCUUUCCCUCUCUCUCUCUUUAAAGAUCAGAAAAUCAGCAGUGUUACCGCCAUCUACAAAGUAGUGUGAAGCUACAGCCGCCAGCUGCCUCCACUUCAGAGAGAGAGGGCAUGUCAAAACAGCACAUGGAUCUACGCGGCUAAAGUCGCGGGCUGUGUGUGGAGCUCUCACAGGUCAUGUGGAGUGACAGACCUGGUCCUUCAGGCACCUCUGCUCUGUAAAGGUGACCAGCUCUUGUAGAAUCCUGGGUGUGCCAAAUUUCUUCCAUCUGAGAAUUAUGGAGGCCACUGUGCUCUUGGGAACUUUCAUUGCAGCAGAAUUUCUUUGUAGCCUUUACUCAAGGUGUAGAAACAUCCCAGCAAAGAUUGGAAGAAAUAGGGGGAAUCUGAGCUAAAU